UUUGAUGGGCGUCGACCGGCGCACGGGUGAGUAACGCGUAUCCAACCUGCCCAUCACUUGGGGAUAACCUUGCGAAAGUAAGACUAAUACCCAAUGACGUCUCUAGAAGACAUCUGAAAGAGAUUAAAGAUUUAUCGGUGAUGGAUGGGGAUGCGUCUGAUUAGCUUGUUGGCGGGGUAACGGCCCACCAAGGCGACGAUCAGUAGGGGUUCUGAGAGGAAGGUCCCCCACAUUGGAACUGAGACACGGUCCAAACUCCUACGGGAGGCAGCAGUGAGGAAUAUUGGUCAAUGGACGAGAGUCUGAACCAGCCAAGUAGCGUGCAGGAUGACGGCCCUAUGGGUUGUAAACUGCUUUUAUAAGGGAAUAAAGUGAGUCUCGUGAGACUUUUUGCAUGUACCUUAUGAAUAAGGACCGGCUAAUUCCGUGCCAGCAGCCGCGGUAAUACGGAAGGUCCGGGCGUUAUCCGGAUUUAUUGGGUUUAAAGGGAGCGUAGGCCGGAGAUUAAGCGUGUUGUGAAAUGUAGACGCUCAACAUCUGCACUGCAGCGCGAACUGGUUUCCUUGAGUACGCACAAAGUGGGCGGAAUUCGUGGUGUAGCGGUGAAAUGCUUAGAUAUCACGAAGAACUCCGAUUGCGAAGGCAGCUCACUGGAGCGCAACUGACGCUGAAGCUCGAAAGUGCGGGUAUCGAACAGGAUUAGAUACCCUGGUAGUCCGCACGGUAAACGAUGGAUGCCCGCUGUUGGUCUGAAUAGGUCAGCGGCCAAGCGAAAGCAUUAAGCAUCCCACCUGGGGAGUACGCCGGCAACGGUGCAACUA
rnacentral:rRNA from 1 species